rnacentral:hammerhead_ribozyme from 1 species
AUCAUCUGACGAGUCCCAAAUAGGACGAAAUGCGUAUCCUGGAU